CGGGGUGAGUAACGCGUGGGUAACCUGCCUCAUACAGGGGGAUAACAGUUAGAAAUGACUGCUAAUACCGCAUAAGCACACAGAAUCGCAUGAUUCGGUGUGAAAAACUCCGGUGGUAUGAGAUGGACCCGCGUCUGAUUAGCUAGUUGGUGGGGUAAAGGCCUACCAAGGCGACGAUCAGUAGCCGACCUGAGAGGGUGAUCGGCCACAUUGGGACUGAGACACGGCCCAAACUCCUACGGGAGGCAGCAG
rnacentral:rRNA from 1 species